rnacentral:snoRNA from 3 species
AUCCUUUUGUAGUUCAUGAGGAUGAUGAUUGGGUAUUUCACACAUGUGUGUGAAAUGUGCCACCCUCAAACCUUGUUACAAUGUCAGCAUAUUACCUGCCUGACC